ensembl:snRNA U1 U1 spliceosomal RNA
AUACUUACCUGGCAGGGGAGAUACCCAUGAUCACGAAGGUGGUUUUCCCAGGGCGAGGCUUAUCCAUUGCACUCCGGAUGUGCUGACCCCUGCGAUUUCCCCAAAUGUGGGAAACUCGACUGCAUAAUUUGUGGUAGUGGGGGACUGCGUUCGCGCUUUCCCCUG